GGCUCAGGAUGAACGCUAGCUACAGGCUUAACACAUGCAAGUCGAGGGGCAGCAUGGUCUUAGCUUGCUAAGGCCGAUGGCGACCGGCGCACGGGUGAGUAACACGUAUCCAACCUGCCGUCUACUCUUGGACAGCCUUCUGAAAGGAAGAUUAAUACAAGAUGGCAUCAUGAGUCCGCAUGUUCACAUGAUUAAAGGUAUUCCGGUAGACGAUGGGGAUGCGUUCCAUUAGAUAGUAGGCGGGGUAACGGCCCACCUAGUCUUCGAUGGAUAGGGGUUCUGAGAGGAAGGUCCCCCACAUUGGAACUGAGACACGGUCCAAACUCCUACGGGAGGCAGCAGUGAGGAAUAUUGGUCAAUGGACGAGAGUCUGAACCAGCCAAGUAGCGUGAAGGAUGAAGGUUCUAUGGAUUGUAAACUUCUUUUAUACGGGAAUAAACGAAUCCACGUGUGGAUUUUUGCAUGUACCGUAUGAAUAAGGAUCGGCUAACUCCGUGCCAGCAGCCGCGGUAAUACGGAGGAUCCGAGCGUUAUCCGGAUUUAUUGGGUUUAAAGGGAGCGUAGAUGGGUUGUUAAGUCAGUUGUGAAAGUUUGCGGCUCAACCGUAAAAUUGCAAUUGAUACUGGCAGUCUUGAGUACAGUUGAGGUAGGCGGAAUUCGUGGUGUAGCGGUGAAAUGCUUAGAUAUCACGAAGAACUCCGAUUGCGAAGGCAGCUUACUAACCUGUAACUGACAUUGAUGCUCGAAAGUGUGGGUAUCAAACAGGAUUAGAUACCCUGGUAGUCCACACGGUAAACGAUGAAUACUCGCUGUAGGCGAUAUACAGUCUGCGGCCAAGCGAAAGCAUUAAGUAUUCCACCUGGGGAGUACGCCGGCAACGGUGAAACUCAAAGGAAUUGACGGGGGCCCGCACAAGCGGAGGAACAUGUGGUUUAAUUCGAUGAUACGCGAGGAACCUUACCCGGGCUUAAAUUGCAACCGAAUAUGGCGGAAACGCUAUAGCUAGCAAUAGCGGUUGUGAAGGUGCUGCAUGGUUGUCGUCAGCUCGUGCCGUGAGGUGUCGGCUUAAGUGCCAUAACGAGCGCAACCCUUGCCGAUAGUUACUAACAGGUCAUGCUGAGGACUCUGUCGGGACUGCCAUCGUAAGAUGUGAGGAAGGUGGGGAUGACGUCAAAUCAGCACGGCCCUUACGUCCGGGGCUACACACGUGUUACAAUGGGGGGUACAGAGGGCUGCUACCACGCAAGUGGAUGCCAAUCCCAAAAACCUCUCUCAGUUCGGAUUGAAGUCUGCAACCCGACUUCAUGAAGCUGGAUUCGCUAGUAAUCGCGCAUCAGCCACGGCGCGGUGAAUACGUUCCCGGGCCUUGUACACACCGCCCGUCAAGCCAUGGGAGCCGGGGGUACUUGAAGUGCGUAACCGCAAGGAGCGCCUUAGGGUAAAACUGGUGAC
rnacentral:rRNA from 1 species